GUAGAACGACACCUCGUACACACCGUCGGCGCUGAAACAGACGGGGGGGGGGGGGGAAUGAGACUGGAGCGGCGAGCAUCCAUUUUCAACAAAGGCCAAAACCAGCGAGACAGCCGUGCUAGCCACUCAACCCCGUGAAAAAUUCAUAAAGUAAACACAAACGUGCGACAGGAGGCCAUGUUUCCCCCCCCUGAGCAUCGACAAGGAUGGAACCUGACAAAUCUCAUUAUGCAAAACCAGUUCAGCAGACCACCAAAUAUAGCAACAAACAAGGAGAGGAAGCCUCACCAAACCCACAAACAUGCACUCCAUGGCCCGUUCCCACUUUUAAUGAGUUCCAAUUUGAUUCCAUGUUUUGAAAUAGCGAGAAAUAUCCAAUUGCAAAUGGAGAGCGCUAGCUUGCGCGGGCACUGUCAAAGUUUUUUCAUGUAUGUGCUUGAGCUACUAAUUUCUCCAGAUGAGCAGGCUGGUGACUUACCUAGCGGACCCCCCCCCCCCCCCCACCCCAAUGUGUGCGGAUGGAUAAACGAGGCCAAAUGCUUUGAGAGCAGUCAAGAGCACCACGUCAGGCAGCCAGAUGUGUUUGGAGGGCAGCCUGACCUUCAUCAUGCCGUCAAACUCCUCGGGGACCCAAGUCAGCCGAUAGUCCUGCCACUCCUGUCGACCCGUUUCAAAACACGCACACACGUCUUAAGAGACUCUUUCCCAUCCUUUUGCAGCAUCCGAGACGACCCGUAUGUCCUUUUACCGUCUGUCUCCUUCUCCCUGUUAUCGCCAUCUCCUCUGAAUGUAUUGCUGACAGACGCUGUCCAUUUAUUGACUCUUCCCUGGCUAAUACAACAUCAUCAAUGCGAGGGGAAAUAAGCAUUCCGGAGCCAUAUGACUAAUGUGCAAUACUCCCAUAAGCUCAAGGCAAUAAGAGCACUGUGAGACAGGAAGGAGGAAGCGGUCCACUUAAACAAUGAUGGAGCAGAACUCAUCUCAUCAUGUGGCUGAUGCUCAAAGAAAGUCUGGAAGGCUCCUGUCUGAAAGCCUUGGCAGAACGUCACAAACGUAUGGAAGCAUUCCGGCGGCCAUGAUAAACCGUGAAUGUUAACAAAAUGUAGCCGUGAGAAGAAAAUGAAAGCCCCGUGGCCUGUCACAAAGACCGUGAAAGAAAAAGGAGGAAGCGUUGACACUUUCCAUGUAGCAGAACCAAAAGGACAGCGUUGGAUUAUGGUUAUCCACUUAUCUUUGGAUUUAAUUCCGUUUGAUGGAUUGUUCCAGUGCAACAAAGGCCGACUUUUGUGGCCUGUGGUCUGUCCAACACCGGUGUGUUCAGGAUCCAGCCAAGUAGCGGCUGUGCACACUUUCACACGGCGACACGCCAUCCUGUAAUCUGUCGAUGACAUCAUCGCCAGCUCUGGGUGUGUCCAAAGUGUGCCGUUUAAACUUCCCUUGUCCCGCCACUGUCCAGACUCAACAUCACCCCAAAACUACCAGCAGUUAAAAUUGUCCAAAAUAUUUCCGUUAAACUGUCAAAUUAAUUGAGCUCCAGAUUGCUCGAUUGGUUAUGAGCUGUGUCCCAAAGCAUGGCUGAAACUCCUGAGCAAGAUUCCCUGAGGACCAAUUAAUACUUUUUUUUUUCCCCACUCGCUGCCAGUAAAUUAUUCUAUGAGAAACAACAGAGGCAGUUUCAUUUCUCUUACAGUAAGUACUCCAAAAGUUCAUUAAGCAUGCAUGCAGCUAACAGGGGCGGGUCUAGGAUAAAGUGGGAGGGGCCAGGUGGAUCAAACCAUUUGCUAAGCAAAACUGUAUUAUUGUUAUCAAUAUAUUACAUUUCAACGAACACACGGUAAAAACAGAUUUUCAGGGAAGCAACACCCCAAAAAAUGAGCGAGACUCGCCCAUGUUUGUUUCCUCCAUUGCUGAGUGUCGUUUUGUCCUUGAUGACAGGGAAGUUGUUUAGCUCAACCUGCCUCUGAUUAACCUGCCCGCUGAAGUCCGAGACCUCCGUGUUAAUGAGGGACGGAGAAUGGAAGAAUGUGUGGGCGGGUGAUAACAGGUUCUAUUUUCAGAGUUACUCACCUCCCGCAAUGGCGAGCAGCGCCAGGAGCAACAUCAGCAGCCAGCCUUCCUCCAUCAUCCUCAUCCUCCUCAUCGUCACCCUUCCGAGCCCGAAAGGUGUUCAACGAGGACCGCGG